rnacentral:tRNA from 1 species
GAGUUGUAAUUUCUUAAGGAAUUUUAUUUUGCAAAAAUAAAGGAGCUAAUUUAGCACGACUCU